UCUGCUUCAAAUCAGCCUAUGGUGAUUAAUAAGUUCCAGUUGAAUUCACCAUUCUGAUGGUAACAUCACAUGCUGUAAAGCAAUCUCUUUGGAAUCCAAGGACGUUACUGUUUGUAGGAAGAGGAGAUUGCAAAACAUCAUGACCUUGUCAUGCCCUGUUGGAAGUGGAUCAGCUGCCAGAUAUUUAUUGACAGGACUCAAGACUUAAGAGCUCUGUUCUCCAGAACUGACAAGGUCAGAGCAGCUCACAGUGAGACAAACUACUAUCUACCCAUGGACAAGACACCAUUGUGACAAUCCCAGAAACCUGUGGCAAAGCUAAAGCACCCCUUGGACAAUAGAGAAUAAAGACCGCAUUAGAAAGGCUGCUUUCUGGGAAGCUCAGUUGGGGCUCACCUCACCUCACAGAAAUCACUGGAGGAAUCUGGAGGACUCAAUCACAAGGUAUCAAGUACAGAUGGAGAAAGAGGCUGGGCUUACAGAACUCAGCAUUCGGAUCUUGGCAGACCAUAUUCUUGCUUUUAGGAUUACCCUAGUGGGCAUGCCAUCUGCAGAGCUGAGCCAAUGGCCCCACAUGGUCAGGAAGUUCAGUCAGCAGUUCUAAUUGGAGUCCCCAGCCAAUGAACUUUAUUGGCUCUGGAGCACAUUCUACAGUCCGACAUAGGCUAUGUCCUUACCAGAUCAUACGUUACUCCAAAGCCCUACUCAACACCAAAAAUAAUGAUAAUAAUCAUAAAUGACACAAUUAAGAAAUAGACAAAGAACCUAAAUAGACAUUUUUACAAAGAAGAUAUUCAAAUGGCCAGUAGGUAUAUGAAAAAGAGUUCAACAUCAUGAACCAAUAGCAAAACACAAAUCAAAACCACAGUGAGGUAUCACCUCAUAUCUGUUAGAGUGGCUACUAUCAAAAUAACAAGAGAUAACAAA